GGAAACGGCUCAGCCGGAGGUA
rnacentral:snRNA from 1 species